UACAGAGGUCUCAAGCGUUGUUCGGAUUCAUUGGGCGUAAAGGGUGCGUAGGUGGCGCGCUAAGUCAGGUGUGAAAUUUCGGAGCUUAACUCCGAAACUGCAUUUGAUACUGGCGUGCUUGAGGACUGGAGAGGAGACUGGAAUUCACGGUGUAGCAGUAGAAAUGCGUAGAUAUCGUGAGGAAGACCAGUGGCGAAGGCGGGUCUCUGGACAGUUCCUGACACUGAGGCAGCGAAGGCCAGGG
rnacentral:rRNA from 1 species